GGCACCCUUCCUCCAGUUCUCAGGGUGAUGGUCGCGAUAGUUGCACCAGCACAUGAGGGCGAAAACCUCUUGUGCUGCCUCCCCGUGACUGCCAGUUCCCGGACCACGUUCUCCCCAAGAGCCCAAGAAGGGCAGACAGCCAGGCGCGCUUGGCUGGUCUCGGGAGGAGGAAGUGGCGGAAGUGGGAUUUGGGAAACAAUCCUGGAGUCGGUGUGCUACGCAUGCGCCGAGGGAAGCGGCCAGGCGGGUGGAGGCGGUGACCGCGCGGAGGCACCGGCGGCCCAGAGGCUUAUAGUCUCGCGCGCACAGCAGCGCGCUACGCGGCCAUCACAGCACAGCCGAUCCAGAGUCCAGUCACGUGACCCGCUCGUGGCAGUCCGUGUGGGGCACUGUAGUAGCAUUUAGUGAGUCAGGCGAACCUAGCGGGCUGCCGCCCCAGAUCAGUUUCUCCGUCAGAUUCCAUUUCUCCAGCGGCACCUGAACCGGCGCGGUCCUCUGCGUCUUCUUGCUCCCUGGGGAUGGGGCCCGGAGCCCCCUUCUUCAUAGAAGGGAAAGAGAUUUGAGCAGGUGGAAGGAACAGGUGCCCAGGACGCUGUCCCGACGCCCACACGAUGCGCUGAGACCUGAGCUUACCCUCGCGUGUCCCAUCGUGCGGUGGUUCUGUCGCGGCCCUAUGGGGAGGGACUCUGUCAGACGGGGACGUCACGAGGCGGCCUUGCCGGGCAGGGUAUUGGGGGUACCGGCUCCAUAGUUUAACUCCGCCUAGUAGUGACCGCGUCUUUUUGCGGUUUUCCUCAGUCCUGUGGCCGGAGACCUCUGCAGUCUCCCUCCCGCAAUGGAGACGUCCUAGGAGGUCUUCUGUUUCCAUGUUUAGGGAAAUGGGAAACCUACAUAGUUUAGUAACAAAUUGAAAGAGUAGUCCAAAGUCUUCCAACAAAGAAGACUGCAAGCCACCAUGGCUUCCCUGGCAAAUUGAACGAUAUAUAAGAGGAAAACAUAAUUCCAGUCUUUAAUAGUUCCAGAAUAAAAGGGGGAAGGAAGAUGAAAGCGGGUAACACUUUUAAACUUUUUAAUGGCCUAGCAUAACCCUGAUAGGAAAACCUGACGAGAACAGCGAAUGGAAGGAAAAGUGUAUGCAAGUUUUGCUCAUGAGUCUAGACGGGAAACUCUGUAAGCAAAAUAUUAGCAAAAUCUAGUAUUAUGUGAAAGGAAUAAUACCAUAGCCAAG
rnacentral:lncRNA from 1 species